GCCAGCCCGCUCAGAAACUCAAAGGAAGUUCGACGGGGGCCCGCACAAGCGGUGGAGUAUGUGGUUAAUUCGAUGCAACGCGAAGAACCUUACCUGGUCUUGACAUCCCGGAGACCCUUAGGAAACUAGGGGGUGCUUCCAUCUGGAAGAAUCUGGAGACAGGUGCUGCAUGGCUGUCGUCAGCUCGUGUCGUGAGAUGUUGGGUUAAGUCCCGCAACGAGCGCAACCCUUGCCUUUAGUUGCCAGCAGUUCGGCUGGGCACUCUAAAGGGACUGCCGGUGUUAAACCGGAGGAAGGUGGGGAUGACGUCAAGUCCUCAUGGCCUUUAUGACCAGGGCUACACACGUACUACAAUGGCCGAUACAAAGGGCAGCGACACUGCGAGGUGAAGCCAAUCCCGUAAAAUCGGUCUCAGUCCGGAUUGGAGUCUGCAACUCGACUCCAUGAAGUUGGAAUCGCUAGUAAUCGUGGAUCAGCAUGCCACGGUGAAUACCGUUCCCGGGCCUU
rnacentral:rRNA from 1 species